ACGGGAGGCAGCAGUGGGGAAUAUUGCGCAAUGGGGGAAACCCUGACGCAGCAAUACCGCGUGAGUGAAGAAGGUUUUCGGAUCGUAAAACUCUUUUAUUGGGGAAGAAAAUGACGGUACCCAAUGAAGAAGUCCCGGCUAACUACGUGCCAGCAGCCGCGGUAAUACGUAGGGGACAAGCGUUGUCCGGAAUGACUGGGCGUAAAGGGCGCGUAGGCGGGAUGUUAAGUCUGAUGUGAAAGGUUACGGCUCAACCGUAGACAUGCAUUGGAAACUGGCAUUCUUGAGUACUGGAGAGGCAAGUGGAAUUCCUAGUGUAGCGGUGAAAUGCGUAGAUAUUAGGAGGAACACCAGUGGCGAAGGCGGCUUACUGGACGAUAACUGACGUUGAGGCUCGAAAGCGUGGGGAGCAAACAGGAUUAGAUACCCUGGUA
rnacentral:rRNA from 1 species